UUUCCCAUUUAUUUGCUGCUAUAAUCUCUUAGUGAUUUGAGCAGUUAUACGCGUGGGAUAAAGUAAUAUUGGGCCAUUGUAAAUUGGGGUGAAACAUGUUUCCUCUUUUUGCAUGGUCUAGACAUUG